AAAAUACACUGCAAGGAGGUUUUUUCUUGAUUUUGUUCCUGAAAGUUGUUUUCCCAUUCUUCUAGCAGAUAUGCCCGGGCUUGUGGUAGUUGGUGAUGGACCUAUCAUUUAGGAUUUGUUUGUUAUAUUUUGCCUUCUAUAUUUGUAAGGAUUCUAUCAGGAGCACUUGUGAUUGUGUAGUUACGGGUUUGAUUAUUUUGGCAUCGUUCCGGGGUGUCCGGGGGUUUUUGUCGAGUGCCCCGGUUGAUAGAGCGGUAGAGAGUUUUCUUUUUGAUAUAUCGUUUUUGUGUUCUUUUAAUCUUUGAUCUGGGGUCCUUGUGGUGACUCCUAUAUGGGGUGUCUGCUGCUGAGUGUCAACGUGGGUGACCUGUAUUUUAUGUACCCACUAUGAUAAUUUUCCUUAUCAUAGUGCACAUUAUCUUGAUAUAAGCUUGAAAACAGAACAAACUCAACUUAAAACAGCAGUCUAUAGGAAGCCUACACACCAG
rnacentral:lncRNA from 1 species